rnacentral:rRNA from 1 species
GAUGAACGCUAGCUACAGGCUUAACACAUGCAAGUCGCGGGGCAGCAUGUCGGUUGCUUGCAACCGAUGAUGGCGACCGGCGCACGGGUGAGUAACGCGUAUCCAACCUGCCCUUCACCACGGAAUAAUCCAGUGAAAAUUGGUCUAAUACCGUAUGAGGUCAUACGAUGGCAUCAGAAUAUGACGAAAGGUUUGGCGGUGACGGAUGGGGGUGCGUCUGAUUAGUUUGUUGGGGAGGUAACGGCUCACAAAGGCGACGAUCGAUAGGGGGUCUGAGAGGAAGGUCCCCCACAUUGGAACUGAGACACGGUCCAAACGCCUACGGGAGGCAGCAGUGAGGAAUAUUGGUCAAUGGGCGAGAGCCUGAACCAGCCAAGUAGCGUGCAGGAAGACGGCCCUAUGGGUUGUAAACUGCUUUUAUAUGGGGAUAAAGUGAGCUACGUGUAGUUUAUUGCAGGUACCAUAUGAAUAAGGACCGGCUAAUUCCGUGCCAGCCGCCGCAGUAA